AGUCUGCUGAUGUAUCAGCCAGAUUUCGAUCUGGGUGGCUUGCAGUCUAUGCCUGCCAACGACAAUUCAUUCUGGAGGAAAAAACUAAGUGGAAUGUGGCCCCUCGGGGUGUUAUAGACUCUUAGAAAAUACUCUGGUUUGGAUUGAGGAACGCAUUGAAUGCUAUUUGGCGAAUAUGCUGGGUGCUUUUAUUUUUGUUGUCUAGAAUUUCUGCUUCGGGUGGUGCUAGAUACCACCAGUAAAACUCGCCUAGUAUACUUUUUAUUCACUUAGGUUGUUGGCUUAAUGACUCUAAAUGACCCGUCUUGAAACACGGACCAAGGAGUC
rnacentral:rRNA from 1 species